CAAUUUGGUUUAAUGUAUAGUAUGCAAUAUGACAAUAAUGUUUCCAUGUUAUGGAGUUGCGAUUCAUUUUAUAAAACAAUUGCUAUGUUCUGUUUUUUAAUCAAGGAGGAUCCAAGUGAAGCGACAGGAGUUUCAUUAACGUCAAUAACUUGGACGACCAGUUUGUUUUGCUUGAUGAAGAGCAGGAAGGGCAGCCUGGAGAGAAAGAGAAGCCGGGUUGAGCCCACUACCAUCAUCCACGUACCACGAGGAAGAUGAGGGAGAGAAAUGAUCCUACCAUUAAAGAGACUGUGAAAAGAGCGUUGAGAACAUCACCACUCUACAGGAAGACACAGUCCAGUAAUGGGUGUCAGAAGUUCAGUAGUGAACGACAGGCAGCACUGAGGUAUUGACUGAGACGGGACGUGAGGGCCUACUCUGCGUGCUCAGAGUUCAAGCCCAGCAGGCUGCAGCGGGCCUGACAUAUUCCGGAACAGCAGCACAGUCUUUGGAUGACUCCUCUGAAGAGGAAAACAUGGCGAGUUCUUCUCAAGAGAAGCAGUACAGGUGUGCCUCAGCUCCACGGUCCCUCCUGCAGCGUCCGCUCCUGAUGCUAACGUCAUGUCUCCAUCACACCAAGCAGCAGACCUGGAUUGACAGACCUUUCUCCAGAGCUGCCCCCUCCCUCUGAAACCCCCCUCUCCAAAACACUAUUUGUGUCGUUUUUAAAGUCUUAUUUGCAUGAGAAUUGUUGAUCAUAACAUUUCCAGCAGAUGCCUUAAAGUAAUGUUUGUGUA